GUGGGGAAUAUUGGACAAUGGGCGCAAGCCUGAUCCAGCCAUGCCGCGUGAGUGAUGAAGGCCCUAGGGUUGUAAAGCUCUUUCACCGGUGAAGAUAAUGACGGUAACCGGAGAAGAAGCCCCGGCUAACUUCGUGCCAGCAGCCGCGGUAAUACGAAGGGGGCUAGCGUUGUUCGGAAUUACUGGGCGUAAAGCGCACGUAGGCGGGUAUUUAAGUCAGGGGUGAAAUCCCGGAGCUCAACUCCGGAACUGCCUUUGAUACUGGGUACCUAGAGUAUGGAAGAGGUAAGUGGAAUUCCGAGUGUAGAGGUGAAAUUCGUAGAUAUUCGGAGGAACACCAGUGGCGAAGGCGGCUCACUGGCUCGAUACUGACGCUGAGGUGCGAAAGCGUGGGGAGCAAACAGGAUUAGAAACCCUGGUAGUCC
rnacentral:rRNA from 1 species